UUUUAUUUGAGAGUUUGAUCCUGGCUCAGGAUGAACGCUGGCGGCGUGCCUAACACAUGCAAGUUGAGCGAUUUACUUCGGUAAAGAGCGGCGGACGGGUGAGUAACGCGUGGGUAACCUACCCUGUACACACGGAUAACAUACCGAAAGGUAUGCUAAUACGGGAUAAUAUAUUUGAGAGGCAUCUCUUGAAUAUCAAAGGUGAGCCAGUACAGGAUGGACCCGCGUCUGAUUAGCUAGUUGGUAAGGUAACGGCUUACCAAGGCGACGAUCAGUAGCCGACCUGAGAGGGUGAUCGGCCACAUUGGAACUGAGACACGGUCCAAACUCCUACGGGAGGCAGCAGUGGGGAAUAUUGCACAAUGGGCGAAAGCCUGAUGCAGCAACGCCGCGUGAGGGAUGAAGGCCUUCGGGUCGUAAAACUCUGUCCUCAAGGAAGAUAAUGACGGUACUUGAGGAGGAAGCCCCGGCUAACUACGUGCCAGCAGCCGCGGUAAUACGUAGGGGGCUAGCGUUAUCCGGAUUUACUGGGCGUAAAGGGUGCGUAGGCGGUCUUUCAAGUCAGGAGUGAAAGGCUACGGCUCAACCGUAGUAAGCUCUUGAAACUGGGAGACUUGAGUGCAGGAGAGGAGAGUGGAAUUCCUAGUGUA
rnacentral:rRNA from 1 species